UACGUAGGGUGCGAGCGUUAAUCGGAAUUACUGGGCGUAAAGCGUGCGCAGGCGGUGCUGUAAGACAGGCGUGAAAUCCCCGGGCUUAACCUGGGAAUGGCGCUUGUGACUGCAGUGCUGGAGUGUGGCAGAGGGGGAUGGAAUUCCGCGUGUAGCAGUGAAAUGCGUAGAUAUGCGGAGGAACACCGAUGGCGAAGGCAAUCCCCUGGGCCUGCACUGACGCUCAUGCACGAAAGCGUGGGGAGCAAACAGG
rnacentral:rRNA from 1 species